rnacentral:lncRNA from 1 species
GAAAAUUACAUAAUAUAUUCAGCAAUCUCAAGGAAACAUUGUGGUUGAAAAGCUAAUGGAGAAGCUGACGGGGGUACACAGCUGGCUAACCUCACGGUAUCUCGGAAAUGGUGCAUGUCCACAAGAACAAAUAGUCACAGUCUGCGGCCGUGACAGGUCCUCUGAAGAAUCUGGCACUGAAGAGUCCAUUUCCGUCAGCGUUUCUCCAUCAAUCCCGCCCUGCGGCCCUUGGGGUCUCUGGGGACGCUGCCCUGGGGCUGUGGACGCCAGCCCUCGGGCACGGCACAGGGGGUGGCUCCACCCGGCGCCCCCUGAGUGCCCCCCGCCCUUCUCUCAGGAUGUCAAACCCACGGUUCCACGUGGCCUCUUGGUGGAGGACGCUGUUGGGAAAAAGCCCUUCCUUCCCUCUGAGAUGUGGGGUGGGUGCAAACGAGGGCUGAGCGUUCACCCCCGCGGCUGUGUCUCUGGCCUCUCACCUCUUCCUCUGGGGUGUGGACCCCACACACGAGGGUGUUGGCUUCCUGAUGGCCUGGGUUCUCUCCUAAGAUGCUCUUGGGGUCCCAGCUGGGUCACCCGCACAUGUAUUGAUGAAUACCUGUGAUGAAGCAGGAGGACGUUGGAUGUGAUAGGACGGUCUGAGAACAUGAAGGCUGAACAUCGGGGGAGCUUUUCCCACGCGCUGGACCCUGGACUUCACACUGAAAACACUAUUUCGUGUUGUGCUGUGACGUGGGCAUGAUCACCUCCAUUCUGGAGAUGAGGAAAUGUAGGUGGAGGAACGUCAAACUACUUGGGUAGGAAAGUAAAAUGAAGAGCCAGUCUGAGCAGCUGAGGCCACUGACUCUCCGGCCUGUGAGUUGAAGACUCGACCGUGUGGCAGGAGAGUUUGCUCAUACGGGGCUGUGUUCACCAGCAGCUCACCGCUCACCAGUGCAGUGCUCCAGUUCUGUGCAUUCGGUUGUGUGGAUUCAUUCCGCAAUUUCACGUGCCUCGUGGCGGAGGGCAUUCAGAAGGGCACAUGCAUUUUAAUCAGGUUUUUUUGCUGGAAGCCAGUAUUUUUUAGCUUGAUUUACAUUCCACAAUUUUCAGUCCUGUUGGGGAGACAGGCUUACAAAUACGGCUGCUCUAAGGAACAGUAAAAGAUUAUAUAUGUAGUUGUGCUGUGAGGUGUCUGCCCACCACAGGGGAGGCAGUAGAGCCGAGAGUAAGGAGAUGGCCCCUGCUGUAGCUGCCAAGCUUUAAAAGGUAGCAGAGAAAUGAUUUGACAUAGGAGGGGAGGUGGGUGUCAUCUUCAAGGAGUUCAUACACAGUGUUCACUCAGAUGGAUUCCAGAUGCAGCAUCUGUGUUUUGAGCAAAAUUUCCACAUGGGUGUCUAAUCAUUGCAUUCAGCAAAAACCAUUUUUUUUUUUUUGGCAAAGUUUUGAACAAAUCUAUGCAUAAAACCCUACUUGGUAGCUCCAGGAAAUGUGUGGGAGUUUUGCUCAAAGGACAAGCCAUGGUUUUAGCUGUUCUGACCUCCUGGGACAGUUGAUGGUUCCAUGGUCAAGACAUGAUUAUUCCACGUGGCCAAAGAAAACAGAACUUCAGACUCACCUUUAAGUUGUCUAAACGUGAAACUUGGCUGGAAAGAAUCAUGCUAGUUAAGGUCCAACCCAUGUCAUUUUGAGAAACAUCUGGCAAACCCAAAUGGGGUUCUUUCUGUCAAAAAAUCAAGUGCCCACGGCUCUUCAAGUCUCAAAGGAGACACAGAGCGGCCCUGAGGAAAUCACCCUGGUAUUCUCUUCCACCUGCUGUGUUCACUCAGCUUUGCUUCCCGAUUCAUCUACACGGGCACCUGGAGCCCUGUUCCCAUCCUUUCCCGCUGCUGGCCUGUUGGGUGGAUGGUCACGUUUGUUUCCUGCCUCCCUCUGCAUCGAUGCUGGACUCUUCCUCUCUUUCUGAAUACCAGUGGGGAUCUCUGUUUAUUCUGACUGUGCCCUGGUGUACCUUUGGGUGACAUUCUCGAGCAUGUAUGGCUGCAAGUGUAAUUGCUGGCUCUUAAGUAGGCAGAUAAUAAAAUUUUAAAGUGAUGUCA